GAUGAACGCUGGCGGCGUGCUUAACACAUGCAAGUCGAACGAACCUUCGGGUUAGUGGCGGACGGGUGAGUAACGCGUGAGAAUCUGCCCUCAGGAGGGGGACAACAGCUGGAAACGGCUGCUAAUACCCCAUAUGCCGAGAGGUGAAAUGAAUUUCGCCUGAGGAUGAGCUCGCGUCUGAUUAGCUAGUUGGUGAGGUAAGAGCUCACCAAGGCAUCGAUCAGUAGCUGGUCUGAGAGGAUGAUCAGCCACACUGGGACUGAGACACGGCCCAGACUCCUACGGGAGGCAGCAGUGGGGAAUAUUCCGCAAUGGGCGAAAGCCUGACGGAGCAACGCCGCGUGAGGGAUGAAGGCCUCUGGGCUGUAAACCUCUUUUAUCAAGGAAGAAGAUCUGACGGUACUUGAUGAAUAAGCCACGGCUAAUUCCGUG
rnacentral:rRNA from 1 species